rnacentral:lncRNA from 1 species
GAUUAGCAUGUUAGGAUGAGAUUCUUGGUGUUUGAGGUUGGGAACCUUGUGUUGUCUUGAGAUUCCUAGGGUAGUGGGAGACUCUGGGCACUGGUUAUGUGAAACCACAAAAUCGAUGGCGUAAUGGAAGAUUCUUGAUGCAUCAAGAGGAACUGGGCUAUUUGGGGAUGCAGGCUUUGGUGUGUUGGGGAAUGGGAGUUCUGUGGAGACAGAGGUGAAGUGAGGGAGUGAGGCCUGAGGGGCC